GGGGAUCAAGGGGUGUCUUAAUCCUCUAUCGUCGGCUUACAUCAGCGACAUGGUGAUGGCCACCGUGAAGAAGGAAAAGCCAGAUCUGAGGAAGAAGGAUGGCCGCCACGAUGCACGCCAAGUUAAACUAGAUCGGAAGAAGCUCAACUAGAUCGACCUCAUCAGAAUCUAGUUUCAGUGACCCAGUUUUUUAUGGGUUUAUGCAUAUCAACUCUAAUCAAGAUCCCCAAUUUCAUCAAUGUGAAAUUGGAAUUCGUAGUGGUUGCUAAAGGCCUAACUUGUGGAACUCCUCAUAUGAUCAGUGCUACGAUUGAAGGCCUUGCUCGGUUGGCUGAUGAGUUUUCUGACCUUGUUUUCAACUGCUAGCAAUUUGCUACGAUUAAAGUUCGUUUCAUUUAUAAUUUCUUUUAGAUCUGAACAAUUGUUUAUUGGGUCAAAGUAAACAUUGAGUUUUCAAGUCAAAACCAAUCUCCAUGGCGCUGCUCUGAGUUAACUCGCUCUCUGUUUUUAUGUAUGGAAGGAUGGCCAUCACGAUGCAAGCCAAGUUAAACGGGAAGAACCUCAACCAGAUCGACCUCAUCAGAAUCUGGAUCUGGUUUCAGUGUUUCAAUAAAGUAUGGAUCUACACCUAUCACCUCUAAUCCAAGAUCUCAAAUUUCAUCACUUGAGUAGAGGCUGAAACUAUGGCAGUGACUGAAUCCAAGCCGAUCAUCGAUGAACCCAUUCAUCCCCAGAAAUAUGAAAUAAAAUGAAUAAGAUUAGGAUAUCAGCCAUCCAUCCC